GUACUAAAUUGGUUUCUCAUACAGGCUGACAAAACACUCGGGAUGCAUCCUAAUCCCAAGUGCUCCCAUAAAAGCCUGCGUAUCCUUGUCCUCUCCAACCACCAAAUCAAUCUUAAACUUUUAGGCGAGGUUGCUGAACUUGCAGUCUGAUUUAAUCACUUUUCCGUCAGGAAUUGGCAAAGCUGAGAAAUAGUCUGUGGCUAACUUCAGCGUGUUUUAUAUGUUUGUGAUAUCUGUACUUUUCUAUUUUCAACGUAUAACUAAUAAAAAAAAUAAUCCCCAUUAUGCAUUUGUUAUGGAAUAAUAAUACUUACAGGAAUCAAAAGAUUACUACUAUAUGUCUUCUUUACUGCAGAAGGAGUUACAAUGAGGAGCCCUGAGGUGGCCCAGAGGGCAGGAAAGGACAACAUUCAAAACUCCAGCAACCAGUGAAAGAGGAAUUAAGACGGCAGUCAGGCACCACAAGCAACCUGCAUCUCUGCCAACAAUGCAUUUGGGGAUAUAAUGCCUUGUUCAGUUAUUUAUAAAUAGGCAUUUUCCAGGAUCGACACCUACCAGAGCCCAGCCAUCCACCUCCACUGCCUCCCUUUCCUUGGCAGCCAUUCCUGCAGCAGAAAUGCAUGGGUGGCAAGAGUCCUCCAGCUGUCCUCAUCUUCAGUCUCACUGGUUUGGGGGUGUUGUGGUGGUAAGAGAAGCAUCUGCUAUUCGAGACCCUGUCUUAAACAGCCACAUUGCCAUGAAUAAGUUUCCAGUGCUAAUAGUCAGGAACUGUAGCAGAUAGGAAGACUGCCAGCUCUUGGAUACACACUUCUGUUUGGGUCACAAGAGGAAGUCACCCUCUUGUACAAUAUCUGUGCAAACACCAAAUCCUACUCACCUCUGAUGUUCACAACAAGUUUGAGCUAAGCAAAGCACUCUACCCAUGGACAAUGCUAAGAUGCUGGUCAUCUCAGAAGAAGAUCAAGCGAGCUUGAUGUUGAAGGGAGAGUGUGAUAUAAUUGAUUGUGAGAUAUGAUGAGAUAAAUCAGGCAAUUGAAAUUACUCUUGGGUCCCAAACAUGGGUUGUAAGAUUUUUCCAAGCAGUGAAGACAUUCAGCGCGCUGCACAUUUCAGAGAUUGAGGUUUGAAACCUAACUAAACAAAUAAUGAAAAUUAAAAAAUAAAAAUAAAACCAAUAAUGAAA
rnacentral:lncRNA from 7 species